GGUGACAUUGGGGACUGGUCUAGAAGGUGUUCUAACCCAGACAAGAGUGCGAUCGACUUUUGGAGUGACUUCAGCUGACUUGUGGAAGCUCUUGAAGACUCAACUUGAGCAGGUCCAGAGACCGUUUGAGCUGAGUUUGGAGCUUCUGUUGGGCUGUUUUGAGCUUAGUGAUAGAGCCAUCUACAGGAGAGGCUAGGGAACGUGGCAAGGGAG